rnacentral:rRNA from 1 species
CCUAGGGGUGGCAGCAGUAGGGAAUCUUCCACAAUGGGCGAAAGCCUGAUGGAGCAACGCCGCGUGGGUGAAGAAGGUCUUCGGAUCGUAAAACCCUGUUGUUAGAGAAGAAAGAGCGUGAGAGUAACUGUUCACGUGUCGACGGUAGCUAACCAGAAAGCUACGGCUAACUACGUGCCAGCAGUAGCGGUAAUACGUAGGUGGCAAGCGUUAUCCGGAUUGAUUGGGAGUAAAGGGUACGGAGGCGGGCUUUUAAGUCUGAUGUGAAAGCCUUCGGCUUAACCCGAGUAGUGCAUUGGAAACUGGGGACCUUGAGUGCAGGAGAGGAUAGUGGAACGCCAUGUGUAGCGGUGAAAUGCGUAGAUAUAUGGAAGAACACCAGUGGCGAAGGCGGCUCUCUGGUCUGUAACUGACGCUGAGGUUCGAAAGCGUGGGUAGCGAACAGGAUUAGAUACCCUAGUAGUC